rnacentral:lncRNA from 10 species
GAAUUCUCUCACCACCCUUGUGCCUUUAGGCUUCGGUAGAUUGCAAAUGACCUGCUUUCUUUCGGAUCCCGGGCUGCUUUCGGACACCUGUCGAAUAGUAAAUCCCAAGUAAGGUACCUGCGGUCGUCGGCAGAUCUGAAUUUUCUUCUUGGACACCUAAUACCCACAGUCCUCCAGAGACCGAGAGGUUGAUGUCACUCCCAAUAUCGGAGGAAGUAUACACCCCCGUGUGAGAUGGUCCUUAAUAAUAUUCCACGGCGGAGGGGGUGAUAUGACUACAUACAUGGCAGAAAGUGGAAACCUCCCAGGGAUAUUGUUCCCACGAUCCUGGAGGGAAGAAGAUGAUGUUACUUUCAAUAUGACAGAAGGUGGAUGAAGUGGUGGACUGCCCCUCCACACCUGUGGACACGCCCCCACUGAUAUUCCUUCUAAUUGCAGCGUGGGAGAGGAGGAUAUGACACGCGAUAUCGCAGGGAGUAGAAACACCCCUGUGAUACUGUUCUUAAUAUUCAGGGAGGAAGAGGAUGAUAUUACUCCCAAUACAGACGGGUGUACACCCUCUGUACACCGAGGGUGUACACCUGUCUGUGAAAGAGUUCGUAAUCUCCAGAGGGGGAGAUGAUAUUACUCACAAUAUGGUAAAGAGGCUGUGAGUCCACGGAGGAUCCUCAGAGCCAGCGGGGGAAGAGGGGCUGGCUCUCAGUCCCCGCCUCGCGGGGGUGACUCCCCCCAGUGCGAUGGGGGUCCUAAGAGCCAGUGGGGGAAGAGGGGCUGGCUCUGAGACCCCGCCUCGCGGGGGGUGCCUCCCCGCCCUGUGAUGGGGGUCCGAAGAGCCAGAAGGCUUAGAGGGGCUGGCUCUCAGUCCCCGCCUCGCGGGGGGUGCCUCCUCCCCCUGCGAUGGGGGUCGUAAGAGCCACUGGGGGAAUAGGGGCUUGCUCUCAGUCACCGCCUCGCGGGGGGUGCCUCCUUUCCUUUCUACAUAGACACAGUGACAGUCUGAUCUCUCUUUCUUUUCCCUACAGAUGGACACGCCCCCACUGAUAUUGUUUUUAAUGCAGCGUGGGAGGGGAGGAUAUGACACGCGAUAUCGCAGGUAGUAGAAACACCCCUUUGAUAGUGUUCUUAAUAUUCAGGGAGGAAGAAGAUGAUGUUACUCCCAAUACAGACGGAUGUACACCCUCUGUACACCGAGGGUGUACACCCGUCUGUGAAGGAGUUCGUAAUCUCCAGAGGUGGAGAUGAUAUUACUCACAAUAUGGUAAACAGGCUGUGAGUCCAUCGCGGAUCCUCAGAGCCAGGUGGGGAAGAGGGGCUGGCUGUCAGUCCCCUCCUCGCGGGGGGUGCCUCCCCCACUGCUAUGGGGAUCCCAAGAGCCAGUGGGGGAAGAGGUGCUGGCUCUCAGUCUCCGCCUCGCGAGGUGCCUCCCCACCCUGCGAUCGGGGUCCGAAGAGCCAGGGGGGAAGAGGGGCUGGCUCUCUUCGUGGAUGAUUCUUUUUCCAUUCUCAGGCAGUUUUCUUUUUUCUUUCUUUCUUUUUUUUUUUUUUUGAGACUGAGUCUUGCUCUGUUGCCCAUGCUUUGCUCGAUCUCGGGUGACUGCAACCACUGCCUCCCAGGUUCAAGAGAUUCUCCUGCCUCAGCCUCCUGAGUAGCUGGGACUAGAGGCGUGUGUCACCACACCCAGCUAAUUUUUGUAUUUUUAGUAGAGAUGGGGUUUCACCAUGUUUGCCAGGAUGGUCUCUAUCUCCUGCCCUUGUGAUCCACCCACCUCAGCCUCCCAAAGUGCUGGGAUUGCAGGUGCGAGCCACCGGGUCCAGCCUCUCAGGCGAUUUUCAUACCUGCAUACUCUGGUCACUACUCUGUUAAACAGUCAAGGAGGGUAAGUAUUAUCUUCAGAUUUCCAGAGCUCUGUCUCUGUACAGCCCUCUCCUCCUCAAUAUUCUGCCCUAUGAAUUCUAGCCACAUUGGCCUUCCCAGGCUCACAGUUCUGUCUUCUCAACUCAGGAAGAUCUCUGAGUUCCAUCUGCAUUCUUUCUUCCUGUGCUGUGGCCUGGAAAGUUUUCUAAGGUGUUAGGGAGGUCAAUUGUGGGGCUAGCCUCAUUUGUUUCUCAUCUCUUGAGGAUCACUGCCCUUUGAUGCUUGAUUCCAGUGAUUGAUUCCCUUUGUUGCUUGAGGGCCAUAGUUUCAUAUAUUUUGUCCAGUAGUUUUGUUGUUUUAGGUCAGAAAGUAAUUUUGGUCUCUGUUACUCUAUCUUGGCCAGAAGUGUAAGACCUAAGCAUUUACACAUCAAAAUACUGCACACAUAAUUUUAGUUUAAGCUACUUUUUAAAAAAUCUCCUUCAUUUUCCAUUUAGCAUUCUAUUUAGGGUAUUACAUUGGUUUUUUUGAAAUUCUGUUAUUGGCAGUUUCUAUUGCCUAUCAAUCCCAUUUAAAGAUAGUGCAUAGGGUAUUCUAAAAUAGCUGUUAAGCAAAGAGAAAAUUGGGCCUGAUAGGGUGAGAAUCACAGCUCUAAUACCUAGAGUGACCUUAUAAUGUAUUGUCCAAAGGAGAUAUUUUUGACAGUGAAAGAGGGUGUUGUUAGUAAUUAUAUCAGGACCAUGGCCUAAACCAGGACUAUCCCAGGAAGCCUGGGACAUAUUUGUACCCCAUCUCUAUUUAAUGCCUUUAUACAAUUCUUUACUUAAUUCUACCAGCCUUUAUUGAGCCUGCUUUCUUUGUCUAGCUGAGUGCCACGUGCUGACGUCACUAAGAUCAAUACAGCAAACUCUGAAAGAUGGACAGAGAGACAGGAGAUGGUCCUUUAUAAUGCAGUGUGAUCUGUGCUGCAAUAGAGAUGGAAGAGUGUUCUGAUCGGCUGGAAAACAACGCACAUGGGAAGCUGUACAGAAAUGAGUGGGGAAAGGUAAUACUUAACAGCAACAGCAGUUAAUAUUUAGUGCCCACUUACGACAUGCUGGACACAGUUCCGGGUACUCUGAACAUAUUUGCUCAUUUAAUCUUUACAACAACCCUAUGAGGUAGGUACUAUUAUUAUCCCCAUUUUCAGGUGAGGAAUCUGAGGCACAGAGAGAGUAAGUAUGUUGCCCAGGGCCACGCACCAAGUAUGUGGUAGGUCCUGGAGUUGAAUGCAGAGCCCCUCCACUCUAAACUCCUGAAAGCCAGAUGCUACAAGGCAUUGUUAUUC